CUCUCCAUGCUUUGUCAGUGUUGAGAAUUGUGUCUGGCCUCUGCCUCCACACCCCAUCCUACCCACUUCCCACUGGGAUACGGCAGCUGCGUGAGUUUACAAGGUUAACGUGCUGAUUCUGUUUGCAUGCACACCAUCUGAUAUCAGAAAUGUAUGUAGCUUGGGGGUGCAGAACCUCAGUGUCCCUGUUUUUUUCCCAGUUAUAGCUUUGCCCAGUGAGAAAGCAAUA